UCAGAGAAAGGCAUCUUUAACUUGAGGUUCAAAUUAGGAACAGGGGAGAAGGAAUUGACAGUUGUUGCAGCUAUCCAACUGUGAGGCGUUCCUCUCCCAGGAGGAGCCUCAUCCUUCAGAAACAUAGCUUGAACAGGUUUAGCUUUCCUACGUCUCACAGCAAACAAGAAUAAGAUUAUUAAAAUGGAAAUCAGAACCACACCCCCAACUGAAAAGCCAAUAAUAAGAUCAAGAUGUUUGCCACUUGGAUGCUCUGGUUCAAGUUGAUCCAAUUUCAUGCUUGUAUUGGUUAC
rnacentral:misc_RNA from 1 species